AUUGAACGCUGGCGGCAGGCUUAACACAUGCAAGUCGAGCGGUAACAGAGAGAAGCUUGCUUCUCUGCUGACGAGCGGCGGACGGGUGAGUAAUGCCUAGGAAUCUGCCUAGUAGUGGGGGAUAACUUGCCGAAAGGUAAGCUAAUACCGCAUACGUCCUACGGGAGAAAGGAGGGGACCUUCGGGCCUUUCGCUAUUAGAUGAGCCUAGGUCGGAUUAGUUAGUUGGUGAGGUAAUGGCUCACCAAGACCGCGAUCCGUAACUGGUCUGAGAGGAUGAUCAGUCACACUGGAACUGAGACACGGUCCAGACUCCUACGGGAGGCAGCAGUGGGGAAUAUUGGACAAUGGGGGGAACCCUGAUCCAGCCAUGCCGCGUGUGUGAAGAAGGCCUUCGGGUUGUAAAGCACUUUCAGUCGUGAGGAAGGUAGUGUAGUUAAUAGCUGCAUUAUUUGACGUUAGCGACAGAAGAAGCACCGGCUAACUCCGUGCCAGCAGCCGCCGUAACAC
rnacentral:rRNA from 1 species